rnacentral:miRNA from 1 species
UGGAAUCAGCCUGUAGUGUAGCCUGGGUAAAAGUGCUACACUACUGCUGACGGCCUGUGGGCUCUGGGGUCCAGCUGAGUCAGUAUGCCUGACAGCAAGCACCUUUAUCCUCUGAAUUACUAAUUCCUUAUU